UGGAGGUAUCAGAAGUGCGAAUGCUGACAUAAGUAACGAUAAAGCGGGUGAAAAGCCCGCUCGCCGGAAGACCAAGGGUUCCUGUCCAACGUUAAUCGGGGCAGGGUGAGUCGACCCCUAAGGCGAGGCCGAAAGGCGUAGUCGAUGGGAAACGGGUUAAUAUUCCCGUACUUGGUGUUACUGCGAAGGGGGGACGGAGAAGGCUAUGUUGGCCGGGCGACGGUUGUCCCGGUUUAAGCGUGUAGGUGUGUGUUCCAGGUAAAUCCGGUUCACUUUAACACUGAGGCGUGACGACGAGGCACUACGGUGCUGAAGCAACAAAUGCCCUGCUUCCAGGAAAAGCCUCUAAGCAUCAGGUAACAUCAAAUCGUACCCCAAACCGACACAGGUGGUCAGGUAGAGAAUACCAAGGCGCUUGAGAGAACUCGGGUGAAGGAACUAGGCAAAAUGGUGCCGUAACUUCGGGAGAAGGCACGCUGACACGUAGGUGAAGUGAUUUACUCAUGGAGCUGAAGUCAGUCGAAGAUACCAGCUGGCUGCAACUGUUUAUUAAAAACACAGCACUGUGCAAACACGAAAGUGGACGUAUACGGUGUGACGCCUGCCCGGUGCCGGAAGGUUAAUUGAUGGGGUCAGCGCAAGCGAAGCUCCUGAUCGAAGCCCCGGUAAACGGCGGCCGUAACUAUAACGGUCCUAAGGUAGCGAAAUUCCUUGUCGGGUAAGUUCCGACCUGCACGAAUGGCGUAAUGAUGGCCAGGCUGUCUCCACCCGAGACUCAGUGAAAUUGAACUCGCUGUGAAGAUGCAGUGUACCCGCGGCAAGACGGAAAGACCCCGUGAACCUUUACUAUAGCUUGACACUGAACAUUGAGCCUUGAUGUGUAGGAUAGGUGGGAGGCUUUGAAGUGUGGACGCCAGUCUGCAUGGAGCCGACCUUGAAAUACCACCCUUUAAUGUUUGAUGUUCUAACGUGGACCCGUAAUCCGGGUUGCGGACAGUGUCUGGUGGGUAGUUUGACUGGGGCGGUCUCCUCCUAAAGAGUAACGGAGGAGCACGAAGGUUGGCUAAUCCUGGUCGGACAUCAGGAGGUUAGUGCAAUGGCAUAAGCCAGCUUGACUGCGAGCGUGACGGCGCGAGCAGGUGCGAAAGCAGGUCAUAGUGAUCCGGUGGUUCUGAAUGGAAGGGCCAUCGCUCAACGGAUAAAAGGUACUCCGGGGAUAACAGGCUGAUACCGCCCAAGAGUUCAUAUCGACGGCGGUGUUUGGCACCUCGAUGUCGGCUCAUCACAUCCUGGGGCUGAAGUAGGUCCCAAGGGUAUGGCUGUUCGCCAUUUAAAGUGGUACGCGAGCUGGGUUUAGAACGUCGUGAGACAGUUCGGUCCCUAUCUGCCGUGGGCGCUGGAGAACUGAGGGGGGCUGCUCCUAGUACGAGAGGACCGGAGUGGACGCAUCACUGGUGUUCGGGUUGUCAUGCCAAUGGCACUGCCCGGUAGCUAAAUGCGGAAGAGAUAAGUGCUGAAAGCAUCUAAGCACGAAACUUGCCCCGA
rnacentral:rRNA from 1 species